rnacentral:rRNA from 1 species
UACGUAGGAUCCAAGCGUUAUCCGGAAUCAUUGGGCGUAAAGCGUGUGUAGGCUUCCAUAAAAGUUUCUCGUUAAAGCCCGGGGCUCAACUCCGGAAUCGUGAGGAAUACUGUAUGGAUGGAGAUACGGAGAGGCAGACGGAAUUCCUAGUGUAGCAGUGAAAUGCGUAGAUAUUAGGAAGAACACCAAUGGCGAAGGCAGUCUGCUGGCCGUCAUCUGACGCUGAGACACGAAAGCGUGGGGAGCGAACGGG